CCCUUAGAUGUUCUGGGCCGCACGCGCGCUACACUGAUGCAUUCAACAAGUUCACCUUGGCCGAGAGGCUUGGGCAAUCUUUUGAACAUGCAUCGUGAUAGGGAUAGAUUAUUGCAAUUAUUAAUCUUGAACGAGGAAUUCCUAGUAAACGUAGAUCAUCAAUCUGCAUUGAUUACGUCCCUGCCCUUUGUACACACCGCCCGUCGCACCUACCGAUUGAAUGGUCCGGUGAAGCCUCGAGAUUGUGGCCAGCUCGCUUUAUCGGGAGUUGGUUGCGAGAACUUGUCUAAACCUUAUCAUUUAGAGGAAGGUGAAGUCGUAACA
rnacentral:rRNA from 1 species